rnacentral:rRNA from 1 species
GGUCAAGCUUACAAAGGGCGCAUGGUGAAUGCCUUGGCAUCAGGAGCCGAUGAAGGACGCGAUAAGCUGCGAUAAGCUCGGGUAGACGCACAUAGUCAGAGAUCCGAAGAUUUCCGAAUGAGGAAACUCACAUGGGAAACCCCAUGUAUCAUAAAGUGAAUACAUAGCUUUAUGAAGGUAUACCCAGGGAACUGAAACAUCUAAGUACCUGGAGGAAGAGAAAGAAAAAAUCGAUUUCUUAGUAGCGGCGAGCGAAAAGGAAAGAGCCCAAACCAGAGAUUUAUCUCUGGGGUUGCGGACAGAACAUAACGAGAAAUCAUAGUUAAUUGAACACAACUGGAAAGUUGGACCACAGUGGGUAAUAGUCCCGUAAGUG